rnacentral:rRNA from 1 species
CGGGAAGAGCCCAAACCAACAAGCUUGCUUGUUGGGGUUGUAGGACUCCGAUAUGGUAGUCUGUUAGUAUAGUUGAAGGAUUUGGAAAAUUCCGCUAAAGAGGGUGAAAGCCCCGUAGACGAAAUGCUAACAACACCUAGGAGGAUCCUGAGUACGGCGGAACACGAGAAAUUCCGUCGGAAUCCGCGGGGACCAUCCCGCAAGGCUAAAUACUCCCUAGUGACCGAUAGUGAACCAGUACCGUGAGGGAAAGGUGAAAAGCACCCCGGAAGGGGAGUGAAAUAGAUCCUGAAACCGUGUGCCUACAACAAGUCAAAGCUCGUUAAUGAGUGAUGGCGUGCCUUUUGUAGAAUGAACCGGCGAGUUACGAUUGCAUGCGAGGUUAAGUCGAAGAGACGGAGCCGCAGCGAAAGCGAGUCUGAAUAGGGCGAAUGAGUAUGUAGUCGUAGACCCGAAACCAUGUGAUCUACCCAUGUCCAGGUUGAAGGUGCGGUAAAACGCACUGGAGGACCGAACCCACGUACGUUGAAAAGUGCGGGGAUGAGGUGUGGGUAGCGGAGAAAUUCCAAACGAACUUGGAGAUAGCUGGUUCUCUCCGAAAUAGCUUUAGGGCUAGCCUCGGAAUUGAGAAUGAUGGAGGUAGAGCA